rnacentral:lncRNA from 13 species
GGUCCCUGCCGGAGGAGACGGUGGGCCAGGCCCUCCAUACACCUGAGCUGGGGUGACCGGCCCAGAGCUGAGCACUCGCUCUUGCCCCAGAGGCCAGGAGUGCUGCUAUCCAGGGACCAGGCAGCAGUUCCCAAAGCCCUCCUCCUUCACACCAGGAGUCCUGGCCUCAGCACCUCCUCCUUCACACCCAGGAAUCCAGGCCCAGCUCCUCCUCCCUCAGACCCAGGAGUCCAGGACCCAGCCCCUCCUCCCUCAGACACAGGAGUCCAGGCCCAGCUCCUCCUCCCUCAGAUCCAGGAGUCCAGGCCCCUGACCCUCCUCCCUCAGACCCAGGAGUCCAGGACCCCAGCCCCUCCUCCCUCAGACCCAGAAGUCCAGACCCCAGCCCCUCCUCCCUCAGACCCAGGAGUCCAGACCCCAGCCCCUCCUCCCUCAGACCCAGGAGUCCAGACAUCAGCCCCUCCUCCCUCAGACCCAGGAGUCCAGACAUCAGCCCCUCCUCCCUCAGACCCAGGAGUCCAGACCCCAGCCCCUCCUCCCUCAGACCCAGGAGUCCAGACCCCAGCCCCUCCUCCCUCAGACCCAGGAGUCCAGACAUCAGCCCCUCCUCCCUCAGACCCAGAAGUCCAGACCCCAGCCCCUCCUCCCUCAGACCCAGGAGUCCAGGCCCCAGCCCCUCCUCCCUCAGACCCAGGAAUCCAGGUCCCCAGGCCCUCCUUCCUCAGACCCAGGAGUCCAGACCCCAGCCUCUCCUCCCUCAGACCCAGGAGUCCAGACCCCAGCCCCUCCACCCUCAGACCCAGGAGUCCAGGCCCCCAGCCCCUCUUCCCUCAGACCCAGGAGUCCAGGCCCCCAGCUCCUCUUCCCUCAGACCCAGGGGUCCAGGCCCAGCCCCUCCUCCCUCAGACCCAGGGGUCCAGACCCCAGCCCCUCCUCCCUCAGACCCAGGAGUCCAGACCCCAGCCCCGCCUCCCUGAGACCCAGGAGUCCAGACCCCAGCCCCU